rnacentral:rRNA from 1 species
UAAUACGGAGGGUACAAGCGUUAAUCGGAAUUACUGGGCGUAAAGCGCGCGUAGGCGGCUAAGCAAGUUGGAUGUGAAAGCCCCGGGCUCAACCUGGGAACUGCAUUCAAAACUACUUAGCUAGAGUACGAGAGAGGAGAGUAGAAUUUCUGGUGUAGCGGUGAAAUGCGUAGAUAUCAGAAGGAAUACCAAUGGCGAAGGCAGCUCUCUGGCUCGUCACUGACGCUAAGGUGCGAAAGCGUGGGUAGCAAACAGGAUUAGAUACCCUGGUAGUCCACGCCGUAAACGAUGAGAACUAGCCGUUGGAAGGAAUUGACCUUUCAGUGGCGCAGCUAACGCAUUAAGUUCUCCGCCUGGGGACUACGGCCGCAAGGCUA